AGUGAACGCUGGCGGUAGGCCUAACACAUGCAAGUCGAACGGCAGCACAGUAAGAGCUUGCUCUUACGGGUGGCGAGUGGCGGACGGGUGAGGAAUACAUCGGAAUCUACUUUUUCGUGGGGGAUAACGUAGGGAAACUUACGCUAAUACCGGAUACGACCUACGGGUGAAAGCAGGGGAUCUUCGGACCUUGCGCGAUUGAAUGAGCCGAUGUCGGAUUAGCUAGUUGGCGGGGUAAAGGCCCACCAAGGCGACGAUCCGUAGCUGGUCUGAGAGGAUGAUCAGCCACACUGGAACUGAGACACGGUCCAGACUCCUACGGGAGGCAGCAGUGGGGAAUAUUGGACAAUGGGCGCAAGCCUGAUCCAGCCAUACCGCGUGGGUGAAGAAGGCCUUCGGGUUGUAAAGCCCUUUUGUUGGGAAAGAAAAGCAGCAGGUUAAUACCCCGCUGUUCUGACGGUACCCAAAGAAUAAGCACCGGCUAACUUCGUG
rnacentral:rRNA from 1 species